UAGAUUACCACAUACUGUAUAACAAUGGAACAUCACAAUGGGAUUCUAUCCAGAAAGAAGGAAUAAAAUAAUAUAACCACUCCUAUAUAAAAUGACUGAAAAACUGGUUGAGGGAAGAAUAACAUUUGUUUUUUACUAUGAAGGGCAUUAUUUUUAUUGCUGAUGCCGAUGGCACUGCGACUGAACUUUAUCUUGAAACAAGAAACGGUAAUAGAAACAGACCUUUCAGCAGCUACAUCACGACCGCUGGUGUGGAUGGAAGACACAAAUGGAACAUCAUCAAGACAGAAUCCAGCGCAAUUCUUCGUCUCACUUACAGCAAAGGUGUGAUGCCUAUUUGCACUAGAAGCCACCCGUCUGAAAGCGGCCCAAAGCAAUUCACAAAUCCAUCAGUUCAAGCAAAAAUGUAUCAUGAAAACUUUGCCAAUUAGCAGCUCUGUCCUUUUGACAAUUUUGGAAUGCAUCUGCUCACCGAAGUCUUGAAUCUUAUGGCAAUUACCCAGCUGACGGAGAUGAAGGCAGGGAGGCAGCACAGGGGUCAGGUGUGUCUCAGGGCAGGGCUGACCCCGAGGCACAUUGCAGCCAGAGAAGAAAGUGCAAAUUCAGUGCGGCCAUGGGGUUUUCCCAGAAAAAUAUUAAAUUGGGAAAUUUUCUGAGGAAAACUAGAAUGACUUGCCUUGGAAGUUUUUCAGUUUGCAUUGCACAAAUCUUCUGAGACCCAGGAGAGGGAUUGAAUUCAGCAUGUUUAUUGCUCAGCAGAUAUGCUCCGUGUGGUUGUAGGGCAUCAUCAUCUGUCUCUCUCGUGUGCGCAGUGGAUACCACCCUCCUUGAAGCCCUUGGAGUGCCUGUGCUGAUCCAACGUCCUAUUCCCUGUGCCCUGUCAGUGGCCCGCCUAGCACUUCAAAGGCACAGUUGUCCUGGCCACAGAAGCUUCUGCUUCUCUGCCGGGGAGAAGCUCCAGCAGCCAAGAGCUCACAUUUCAUCCCUCGCCCAGCUCAGCUUUCUCCACCUGCUGCCCUGUGCCAAACAGUCAGGUUGCCACACCUGCAGCUGUACCCUUUGGGGAAGUUUUUUAAAAAUAAACCAAUUGCCUGCUCCCUACCCAAAGGAGGGGCCACAAACAGCCACCCACGGAGCUCUCACCACCCAACUCCCUGGCUGAAAGACGUGGGAGUGAGAAGUGAUGCCCUGUGGCCAUCAGGAGGUGGCAGGUGGGGCUGUCCCAUCUCCGAAGCACCAGGAAAGAAGCAGAGAGAAUUCUUAGGGCCACGACCAGCCCUGCCAACUUGUCUGCCGUUCUACUACCCACAACCCUCACCCUUCCCUGCUGGCUUUCCAUAUCCCUACAACCACCCAACGCCCACCCAGCACAGCUGACGGUGGCGGGGAGGCCACCAUCCACAGAGAAGUCCUCCAUCUCCAAAACAUUUUUGUCUGAAAUGCCACCAAUCUGCUCCCUUCUGCGCCGUUGUACUUAGACCCAAGCCAUUGUGCUGAUAUAGUUACUGCUCUGAAUCACCCAAAAUGUGUGGACUUAGGGGGGCAAUCCUUGUACCAGCUGCCAUUAGCCGAAAUGGCCUGCCCUACAGGGACCUACGAAAGCUGCCCAGCGACCAGCAUGGCAGCACUAUGACAACAGCACUCUGCCCCUGCCCACAACAGGAAGCAUCUCUCCUUGGCUUCUUGUAGCAGUUCCUCAUUCAAUAUGACUGUUCCUGCCAGGCCCAAUGUCUGGAAGCCUCCCUUGCAAAACGGCACAGCAGGCCCCAAGAGCCCUUUCAAGACAAGAGAUUAUCAGGGUGGUGCUUAGCACCAUGUCAUGGGGCAGUGCCUGCGGAGAUGCAACGAAACCAAUUCCCUUAACCAUCUUAUUUGGUAAAUGAGUCUCCAACGGACCAGCUACAGGGGAGUGGUAAAGCACAAGCUUUGGAUCCAUAUGACCCCAUGUUCCAAUCCUGGCAUCUCAAAGUAGGAGGAAGGCAGACCGAUUCCUGCCCGAAACCCUGGAGUGCCACUUCCGGUCAGAGUGGGCAUUGCUGGGCAAGACAGACCAAGGGCCUGGCAUGGUAGAAGGCGUUGCGUGUCUUCUGUUGUGGGUUUCUUGUUUUUGCCAUUAAAGCGCUCUGUGCCACUGA